rnacentral:rRNA from 1 species
GAGUUUGAUCCUGGCUCAGAUUGAACGCUGGCGGCAUGCUUUACACAUGCAAGUCGAACGGCAGCACGGACUUCGGUCUGGUGGCGAGUGGCGAACGGGUGAGUAAUACAUCGGAACGUACCCAGUAAUGGGGGAUAACUAUCCGAAAGGAUAGCUAAUACCGCAUACGCCCUACGGGGGAAAGAGGGGGAUCGCAAGACCUCUUGUUAUUGGAGCGGCCGAUGGCUGAUUAGCUAGUUGGUGAGGUAAAGGCUCACCAAGGCGACGAUCAGUAGCGGGUCUUAGAGGACGAUCCGCCACACUGGAACUGAGACACGGUCCAGACUCCUACGGGAGGCAGCAGUGGGGAAUCUUGGACAAUGGGCGCAAGCCUGAUCCAGCAAUGCCGCGUGCGUGAAGAAGGCC